rnacentral:rRNA from 1 species
UACGGAGGGAGCUAGCGUUGUUCGGAAUUACUGGGCGUAAAGCGCACGUAGGCGGCUUUUUAAGUCAGGGUUGAAAUCCCGGGGCUCAACCCCGGAACUGCCCUUGAAACUGGAGAGCUAGAAUCUUGGAGAGGCGAGUGGAAUUCCGAGUGUAGAGGUGAAAUUCGUAGAUAUUCGGAAGAACACCAGUGGCGAAGGCGACUCGCUGGACAAGUAUUGACGCUGAGGUGCGAAAGCGUGGGGAGCAAACAGG